rnacentral:rRNA from 1 species
GACGAACGCUGGCGGCGUGCCUAAUACAUGCAAGUCGAACGAGAGCGACCGGUGCUUGCACUGGUCAAUCUAGUGGCGAACGGGUGAGUAACACGUGGGUAACCUGCCCAUCAGAGGGGGAUAACAUCCGGAAACGGAUGCUAAAACCGCAUAGGUCUUCGAGCCGCAUGGCUUGAAGAGGAAAAGAGGCGCAAGCUUCUGCUGAUGGAUGGACCCGCGGUGCAUUAGCUAGUUGGUGAGGUAACGGCUCACCAAGGCCGUGAUGCAUAGCCGACCUGAGAGGGUGAUCGGCCACAUUGGGACUGAGACACGGCCCAAACUCCUACGGGAGGCAGCAGUAGGGAAUCUUCCGCAAUGAACGCAAGUCUGACGGAGCAACGCCGCGUGAGUGAAGAAGGUUUUCGGAUCGUAAAACUCUGUUGUUAGAGAAGAACAAGUGCUAGAGUAACUGUUAGCGCCUUGACGGUAUCUAACCAGAAAGCCACGGCUAACUACGUG